UACGGAGGGUGCGAGCGUUGUCCGGAAUCACUGGGCGUAAAGGGCGCGUAGGCGGCAGGCCAAGCGUGCGGUGAAAGUCCGGGGCUCAACCCCGGAUCGGCCGUGCGGACUGGUUUGCUAGAGCACUGUAGAGGCGAGUGGAAUUCCGGGUGUAGCGGUGGAAUGCGUAGAGGUCCGGAAGAACACCGGUGGCGAAGGCGGCCUGCUGGGCUAUGGCUGACACUGAGGCGCGACAGCGUGGGGAGCAAACAGG
rnacentral:rRNA from 1 species